CAGUCUGUGGUACCUGGGAUUCUAAUGAGUCUAUGUCAGGAUGUGAAAACUGAAUUUCGGACAUUAUUUGACUGUCCAUAGGGAGUAUCAUCACAACCGUCAUCCUCGUCCACCUCACUGCCUAGAAAAUGAAGAGAUAUAAUGUCAAUGAUGCCAGAAUAAGAUGUCUUUUUUUAUCAUGUUAUUAGUUUGGUAAAAUUAAGAGAUUCUCGGAAACCAGAAAUGUGAAUUGAGAUUUAUGGAUGAAUCUAAAGUACCAAACAGAAACUAUUGAAGUGUCAUUGAACUUUCGUGCAAUGCCAGGUAGAACCAGAAGGAAGUGAUGGACUUACUUAACGUGUAUUCUACAGGAUCCAAUCGACCACUGAAGAAC
rnacentral:lncRNA from 1 species